rnacentral:rRNA from 1 species
UACGUAGGGGGCAAGCGUUGUCCGGAAUCAUUGGGCGUAAAGCGCGUGUAGGCGGCUUGGAAGGUCGGCUCUGAAAGCCCGGGGCUCAACCCCGGGAGGCGGGUGGAUACUGUCAAGCUCGAGUCCGGAAGAGGCGAGUGGAAUUCCUGGUGUAGCGGUGAAAUGCGCAGAUAUCAGGAGGAACACCAAUGGCGAAGGCAGCUCGCUGGGACGUGACUGACGCUGAGACGCGAAAGCGUGGGGAGCAAACAGG